rnacentral:rRNA from 1 species
UACGUAGGGUGCAAGCGUUAAUCGGAAUUACUGGGCGUAAAGCGUGCGCAGGCGGUUUUGUAAGUCUGUCGUGAAAUCCCCGGGCUCAACCUGGGAAUUGCGAUGGAGACUGCAAGGCUAGAAUCUGGCAGAGGGGGGUAGAAUUCCACGUGUAGCAGUGAAAUGCGUAGAGAUGCGGAGGAACACCGAUGGCGAAGGCAGCCCCCCUGGGGCUGACCACUGACGCUCAGGCACGAAAGCGUGGGGGAAGCCAAACAAGG